rnacentral:rRNA from 1 species
ACUCAAAUGAAUUGACGGGGACCCGCACAAGCGGUGGAUGAUGUGGAUUAAUUCGAUGCAACGCGAAAAACCUUACCUACCCUUGACAUGUCCAGGAGCCUGAAGAGAUUUGGGUGUGCCCGAAAGGGAACUGGAACACAGGUGCUGCAUGGCUGUCGUCAGCUCGUGUCGUGAGAUGUUGGGUUAAGUCCCGCAACGAGCGCAACCCUUGUCGUUAAUUGCCAUCAUUUAGUUGGGCACUUUAACGAGACUGCCGGUGACAAACCGGAGGAAGGUGGGGAUGACGUCAAGUCCUCAUGGCCCUUAUGGGUAGGGCUUCACACGUCAUACAAUGGUCGGUACAAAGGGUUGCCAAGCCGCGAGGUGGAGCCAAUCCCAGAAAGCCGAUCGUAGUCCGGAUUGCAGGCUGCAACUCGCCUGCAUGAAGUCGGAAUCGCUAGUAAUCGUGGAUCAGCAUGUCACGGUGAAUACGUUCCCGGGUCUUGUACACACCGCCCGU